UCCCUCUUAGCUCAGUGGUAGAGCGCGUCACUAGUAGUUGCUAUGACGAGGUCAGUCGUUCAAGUCGGCUAGAGGGAA
rnacentral:tRNA from 1 species